rnacentral:rRNA from 1 species
UGCUUACACAUGCAAGUCGAACGAUGAACCACCUUCGGGUGGGGAUUAGUGGCGAACGGGUGAGUAACACGUGGGCAAUCUGCCCUGCACUCUGGGACAAGCCCUGGAAACGGGGUCUAAUACCGGAUACUGACCUGCCAAGGCAUCUUGGCGGGUCGAAAGCUCCGGCGGUGCAGGAUGAGCCCGCGGCCUAUCAGCUUGUUGGUGAGGUAAUGGCUCACCAAGGCGACGACGGGUAGCCGGCCUGAGAGGGCGACCGGCCACACUGGGACUGAGACACGGCCCAGACUCCUACGGGAGGCAGCAGUGGGGAAUAUUGCACAAUGGGCGCAAGCCUGAUGCAGCGACGCCGCGUGAGGGAUGACGGCCUUCGGGUUGUAAACCUCUUUCAGCAGGGAAGAAGCGAAAGUGACGGUACCUGCAGAAGAAGCGCCGGCUAACUACGUGCCAGCAGCCGCGGUAAUACGUAGGGCGCAAGCGUUGUCCGGAAUUAUUGGGCGUAAAGAGCUCGUAGGCGGCUUGUCGCGUCGGUUGUGAAAGCCCGGGGCUUAACCCCGGGUCUGCAGUCGAUACGGGCAGGCUAGAGUUCGGUAGGGGAGAUCGGAAUUCCUGGUGUAGCGGUGAAAUGCGCAGAUAUCAGGAGGAACACCGGUGGCGAAGGCGGAUCUCUGGGCCGAUACUGACGCUGAGGAGCGAAAGCGUGGGGAGCGAACAGGAUUAGAUACCCUGGUAGUCCACGCCGUAAACGGUGGGCACUAGGUGUGGGCAACAUUCCACGUUGUCCGUGCCGCAGCUAACGCAUUAAGU